GUGACCGCGGGAGUUCUCUGCAAAAACUUCACAAGCUGACACUUUUUUAGAGCUUUUGUGAAGUGUUUAGGAGAAUUCUCGGUGCCAC
rnacentral:pre_miRNA from 7 species